GAUGAACGCUGGCGGCGUGCCUAAUACAUGCAAGUCGAGCGAACAGAUGAGGAGCUUGCUCCUCUGACGUUAGCGGCGGACGGGUGAGUAACACGUGGAUAACCUACCUAUAAGACUGGGAUAACUUCGGGAAACCGGAGCUAAUACCGGAUAAUAUAUUGAACCGCAUGGUUCAAUAGUGAGAGACGGUUUUGCUGUCACUUAUAGAUGGAUCCGCGCCGCAUUAGCUAGUUGGUAAGGUAACGGCUUACCAAGGCAACGAUGCGUAGCCGACCUGAGAGGGUGAUCGGCCACACUGGAACUGAGACACGGUCCAGACUCCUACGGGAGGCAGCAGUAGGGAAUCUUCCGCAAUGGGCGAAAGCCUGACGGAGCAACGCCGCGUGAGUGAUGAAGGUCUUCGGAUCGUAAAACUCUGUUAUUAGGGAAGAACAAAUGUGUAAGUAACUAUGCACGUCUUGACGGUACCUAAUCAGAAAGCCACGGCUAACUACGUG
rnacentral:rRNA from 1 species